rnacentral:rRNA from 1 species
GAUGAACGCUGGCGGCGUGCUUAACACAUGCAAGUCGAACGGUGAACACGGAGCUUGCUCUGUGGGAUCAGUGGCGAACGGGUGAGUAACACGUGAGCAACCUGCCCCUGACUCUGGGAUAAGCGCUGGAAACGGCGUCUAAUACUGGAUAUAUGACGUGACCGCAUGGUCUGCGUUUGGAAAGAUUUUUCGGUUGGGGAUGGGCUCGCGGCCUAUCAGCUUGUUGGUGAGGUAAUGGCUCACCAAGGCGUCGACGGGUAGCCGGCCUGAGAGGGUGACCGGCCACACUGGGACUGAGACACGGCCCAGACUCCUACGGGAGGCAGCAGUGGGGAAUAUUGCACAAUGGGCGCAAGCCUGAUGCAGCAACGCCGCGUGAGGGAUGACGGCCUUCGGGUUGUAAACCUCUUUUAGCAGGGAAGAAGCGAAAGUGACGGUACCUGCAGAAAAAGCGCCGGCUAACUACGUG